UUGUCUUCGGCAGCACAUUUACUAAAAUUGGAAUGAUACAGAGAAGAUUAGCAAGGCCGCUAUGCAAGGAUGACUUGCAAAUUCGUGAAGCAUUCCAUUUUUGU
ensembl:snRNA U6 U6 spliceosomal RNA